rnacentral:lncRNA from 1 species
AUCAAAGCUUUGCUAAUUUACGAAGACUACUUCUAUUGUGCAAAUAGAGAAUUAAACAUUGCUCAUCAAAGCUUUGCUAAAUUGCAUAGACUUAUAAUGUGGAACUCAAUAAUGAAACAAUGCUCAUCAAAGCUUUGCUUAAAGUGCAUAGACUUCUAUUGUGGAACUCAAGAAUUAAACAAUGCUCAUCAAAUCUUUGCCAAAUUUCAUAGACUUCUAAUGUUUAACUCGAGAAUAAAACAAUCCUCAUCUAAGCUUUUUUUAAAUUGCAUUCACUUCUAUUGUGAAACUCAAGAAUUAAACAAUGCUCAUCAAAGCUUUGCUAAAUUGCAAAGACUACUUCUAUUGUGGAACUCAAGAACUAAACAUUGGUCAUCAAUGCUUUGCUAAAUUGCAUAUACAUCUAAUGUGGAACCCAAGAAUGAAACAUUGAUCAUGAAAGCUUUGCAAAAUUGCAUAGUGUUCUAUCGUGGAACUCAAGAAUCAAACAAUGCUUAUGAAAGCUUUGCUUAAAUUGCAUAGACUUCUGUUGUGGAACUCCAGAACAAAACGCUGCUCAUCCAAGCUUUGCCAAUGUGCGUAGACUUGUAAUGUGGAACUCAUGAAUGAAACAAUUCUCGUCAAAGCUUUGCUUAAAUUGAAUAGACUACUAUUGUGGAACUCAAAAAUAAAGAAAUGCUCAUCAAAGCUUCGCUAAAUUGCGAAGACUACUUCUAUUGUGGAACUCAAGAACUAAACAAUACGCAUCAAAGAUUUGCUAAAUUGCGAAGACCACUUCUAUUGUGGAACUCAAUAAACAAUGUUCAUCAAAGCUUUUCUGAAUUGCAUAGACUUCUAAUAUGGAACUAAAGAAAGAAACAAUGCUCAUCAAAGCUUUGGAAAAAUUGCAUACACUUCUAUUGUGGAACCAAAGAAUUAAACAAUGCUUAUCAAAGCUUUAUCAAAUUGCAACGACUACUUCUAUUUUGGAACUCAAGAAUUAAAUAAUGCUUAUCAAUGUUUUGCUAAAUUGCAUAGACUUCUAGUGUGGAACUCAAGUAUUAAGCAAUGCUCAUCAAAGCAUUGCUAAAUUGCAUAGACUUCUAUUGUUGAACUCAAGAAUCAAAAAAUUCUAAUCAAAGCUUUGCUUAAAUUUUAUAGACUUCGAUUGAGGAACACAAUUAAACGAUGCUCAUCAAAGCUUUGCUAAAUUUCAUAGACAUCUAAUGUGGAACACAAGAAUAAAAAAAUGUUCAUCAAAGCUUUACUUAAAUUGCAUAGGCUUAUAUUGUGGAACUCAAGAAUCAAACAAUGCUCAUGAAAGCUUUGAUUAAAUUGCAUAGACUUUUGUUGUGGAACUCCAAAACAAAACGCUGCUCAUCCAAGCUUUGCCAAUGUGCGUAGACUUGUAUUGUGGAACUCAUGAAUGAAACAAUUCUCGUCAAAGCUUUGCUUAAAUUGCAUAGACUACUAUUGUGGAACUCAAAAAUAAAGAAAUGCUCAUCAAAGCUUCGCUAAAUUGCGAAGACUACUUCUAUUGUGGAACUCAAGAACUAAACAAUACUCAUCAAAGAUUUGCUAAAUUGCGAAGACCACUUCUAUUGUGGAACUCAAUAAACAAUGUUCAUCAAAGCUUUUCUGAAUUGCAUAGACUUCUAAUAUGGAACUAAAGAAAGAAACAAUGCUCAUCAAAGCUUUGGAAAAAUUGCAUACACUUCUAUUGUGGAACCAAAGAAUUAAACAAUGCUUAUCAAAGCUUUAUCAAAUUGCAACGACUACUUCUAUUUUGGAACUCAAGAAUUAAAUAAUGCUUAUCAAUGUUUUGCUAAAUUGCAUAGACUUCUAGUGUGGAACUCAAGUAUUAAGCAAUGCUCAUCAAAGCAUUGCUAAAUUGCAUAGACUUCUAAUGUGGAACCCAAGAAUGAAAGAAUGCACAUGAAUGCUUUUCAAAAUUGCAUUGAAUUCUAUUGUUGAACUCAAGAAUCAAAAAUAUCUAAUCAAAGCUUUGCUUAAAUUUAAUAGACUUCUAUUGAGGAACACAGUUAAACGAUGCUCAUCAAAGCUUUGCUAAAUUGCAUAGACUUCUAAUGUGGAACACAAGAAUAAAACAAUGCUCAUCAAAGCUUUACUUAAAUUGCAUAGGCUUAUAUUGUGGAACUCAAGAAUAAAGAAAUGCUCUUCAAAGCCUUGCGAAAUUGCGAAGACUACUAUUAUGGAACUCAAGAAUUAAACAAUGCUCAUCAAAGCUUUGCUAAAUUCAAUUGACUUCUAAUGUGAAACUCAAGAAUGAAACAAUGCUCUUCAAAGCUUUGCUUAAAUUACAUCCACUUCUAUUGUGGAACUCAAAAAUUAAAUAAUGCUCAUCAAAGCUUUGAUAAAUUGCAUAGACUACUUUUAUUGUGGAACUCAAGAACUAAUCAAUGCUCAUCAAUGCUUUGCUAAAUUCCAUAGACUUCUAAUGUGGAACCCAAGAAUGACACAAUGCUUAAGAAAGCUUUGCUAAAUUGCAUAGACAUCUACUGUGGAACUCAAGAACAAAACAAUGCUCAUCAAUUCUUUGCUUAAAUUGCAUAGACUUCUAUUGUGGAACUCAAGAAUGAAACGAUGCUCAUCAAAGCUUUGCUAAAUUGCGUAGAUCUCAAAUGUGGAAAUCAAGAAUGAAACACUGCUCGUCAAAGCUUUGCUUAAAUUGCAUAGAGUACUAUUGUGGAACUCAAGAAUAAAGAAUUGCUCAUCAAAGUUUUGCUAAUUUACGAAGACUACUUCUAUUGUGGAAAUUAAGAAUUAAACCAUGCUUAUCAAAGCUUUGCUAAAUCGCGAAGACU